UAAAAUUUGGAUUCGAUAUCAAUUUUGAUUUUAUUCUGUUAGAUGAUUAUUGCUAUCAAUUUUGUAUUUUUUAGUUUUCCCUUUGAUGAAGAUGCAUUUGGUACUUCCUACUGUAUUUAUCCACCAAAUGCUUGCGUCAUUGAUUCCACAAUUUGGAUGGCUAUUGUUCAACAUGUUUAUUUUUCUGCCUUUUUUUAUGUUGAUUGUUUUGGCAAAGUUUUCCAUUUAAAGAGACGCACCCUAACUGUUAUUCAUGCUCCUUAUCGUGUCCUGUGUGUGCAACUUUGAAGUUUAUUGCUACUCUAGUGUUUUGUCAUCUGUUGCUUUGUUCUUAUUUUCACUUGUUGAUGCUGGAUUUACACAGAGAGAACGUCGACGCCAAGAACGUGAAGCUGGCUCUGCUGGAACUGUUGGAUCAUCUUAGUCAAUAAGUUAGAACAGCUUUAGAGGCGAGGGUUAUCAGCACAUGGGUUUCAGAACAUGAAUUUUCAUGCAGUUAGGCUCACGUUUCACUCAGAGGGUGACAGUCACAUGGUCUUCAUGUAGAUUCACUUGAAGCUGAUAAAUAAUUCUGUUGUGAUGUUUCUGUGACUUGUGUUUAACUAGUGCUGUUGGAUUCUAAUAUGGCUGGCUGGAUACAUUUUGCAUCUCUCUCUCUAAUUAAAGUGCUUUGUGUGAUGACUUAUGAUAUGGAGUGUACCUGUCAUAGUUAGCCUACUAAUGUGGUUGUGAAAGUGUCACACAUGCGUUAGGAAGGAUGAAUUAGGUGGUUCACGUAGUAACAUGUAGAAUUUAGAAAGAAACUAAGUUAGCUCCAAAUCGCAUGACCAAUUUAUUCUACUUGUUGAAGUUCCGAAAAAGAUGUCAAUCAGGAUGCAUCAUUCAAACAAGCUUAUGCUGAUAACUUGGCCUUGUGCGUAUUCUUGUCUUCAUCUGUCAUCGGGUCUCUGUGGAGUCUGUAUCAUCAUAGGUCCCGAUAAAAAUGAGCGGAGUUCUUAGGAUCAGAAAUGGCAUUUCCACUGAGUAGAAAUUGUGGGUUGUGGGUUGCACUAUGUAGAAUGAGGUGAAAGUAUAUAUGCCGGAAUUUUUGUGAAGCAUACUGGUUUGAACUCUCUGCUACAAGAUAUUACAUCUCUAGUAAUAAUUAUGUUUGUUGGUACAUACUUCUGUUAUACUUAAAAAUACUUUUGUUAUUGUUAGUAUAUUUUCUGGAUUUAAUAAUGAAAUGUACUUGCAUUUUUUGUA